UUCGCAGGCUUGGAGAGAUUCGAACUUUAGGCAUGCUGAGGUCCAGGUUCCAGUCUUUGCCCGGUGCUUUUAAUGCUUGUUUGAUACCAGAGGAGAAGAGUGAGCAACCUAAAAAGAAAGGACUAAAAGCAACAUUCUCUCGAAAUUUCGCCAGGGUGCCAUCCAACAAGGAAAAAGAAGCUGCAAGGUUUGCUCAAUUGUGGAAUAAAAUAAUCACAAGUUUUAGAGAGGAAGAUCUUAUUAGCAAUCGUGAGAUGGAUCUUUUGCUUGUUCCUUACUGGGCUGAUCGUGAGUUGGAUCUCGUGCAAUGGCCACCAUUUUUGCUUGCUAGCAAGAUUCCAAUAGCAGUGGAUAUGGCUAAGGAUAGCAACGGAAAGGACCGUGAGCUGAAAAAGAGGAUUGAGGCUGACCCAUAUAUGUCAUCUGCUGUUUGUGAGUGCUAUGCUUCAUUUCGCAAUGUGAUAAAAGUUUUGGUUUCAGGUCGUCGUGAGAAGGAGGUUAUAGAGUAUAUCUUCUCAGAAGUUGACAAGCAUAUUGAGGCUGGUAAUUUAAUUAGUGAGUACAAGAUGAGUUCUCUUCCCAGCCUGUAUGAUCUGUUUGUUAAGCUCAUAAAAUACUUGCUAGAAAAUAGGCAGGAGGACAGGGAUCAAGUUGUACUUCUAUUCCAAGACAUGCUGGAAGUUGUUACGCGAGAUAUAAUGAUGGAAGAUCAACUAUCAAGCUUGGUAGAUUCCAUCCAUGGAGCCCCAGGGUAUGAAGGAAUGAUCCCUCUUGAUCAGCAAUAUCAGUUAUUUGCUUCUGCUGGAGCUAUCAAAUUCCCCCCUCCUGAAUCAGAAGCUUGGAAAGAGAAGAUCAAAAGAUUGUAUUUGCUGCUUACAGUAAAGGAGUCUGCAAUGGAUGUACCAUCCAACUUAGAAGCUAGGAGGCGAAUAUCCUUCUUCUCCAAUUCAUUGUUCAUG
rnacentral:misc_RNA from 1 species